rnacentral:rRNA from 2 species
GCAGUCGAGCGGAAGGCCCUUCGGGGUACUCGAGCGGCGAACGGGUGAGUAACACGUGAGCAACCUGCCCUAGGCUUUGGGAUAACCCCGGGAAACCGGGGCUAAUACCGAAUAUGACCUGGCCUCGCAUGAGGCUUGGUGGAAAGUUUUUCGGCCUGGGAUGGGCUCGCGGCCUAUCAGCUUGUUGGUGGGGUGAUGGCCUACCAAGGCGACGACGGGUAGCCGGCCUGAGAGGGCGACCGGCCACACUGGGACUGAGACACGGCCCAGACUCCUACGGGAGGCAGCAGUGGGGAAUAUUGCACAAUGGGCGGAAGCCUGAUGCAGCGACGCCGCGUGAGGGAUGACGGCCUUCGGGUUGUAAACCUCUUUCAGCAGGGACGAAGCGUAAGUGACGGUACCUGCAGAAGAAGCGCCGGCCAACUACGUGCCAGCAGCCGCGGUAAGACGUAGGGCGCGAGCGUUGUCCGGAUUUAUUGGGCGUAAAGAGCUCGUAGGCGGCUUGUCGCGUCGACUGUGAAAACCCGCAGCUCAACUGCGGGCCUGCAGUCGAUACGGGCAGGCUAGAGUUCGGUAGGGGAGACUGGAAUUCCUGGUGUAGCGGUGAAAUGCGCAGAUAUCAGGAGGAACACCGGUGGCGAAGGCGGGUCUCUGGGCCGAUACUGACGCUGAGGAGCGAAAGCGUGGGGAGCGAAC